CCCCUCUCAGGGCUGCACCUUGAGAGUUUCCAGUCCUCUACCAGUCUCGACUAUGGGAGAAAGAGUCAAGCAGAGGCUUACCCAUUCCAUUCCUAGCUUGGGCAGUGGCUAGAGAGUGGAAGACAAUCUGCUACAAGU